CAACAUAGUGAGACCCCAUCCCUGUUCUUUUUAAAAAAGAAAAAUAAAUAAAUAAGAAAAAAGGAAAAUAAUUCAGGGAUGAGUCAGAAUGAAACAAAAGGCAAGAAGCUUUUAUUGCAAAACAAAAGCACACACUAACAAAGAAGUGUGGGCGUGCUCAUGAGAACAGUCACACACAAUGGAGCUUGGGUUUCUAAUUUUGUGGAUGUUUCUUUAAUUAGGGGGUGGGAUAAUCAUUAGGUAUUCUGGAAAAGGAGGGGAUUUCAGGGACCUCCCAGUUAUGACUCCCUUUCUCCCUUAUUUGGGUUUGCCUGGAAGAGCCGUGGACCUGUCACCCUGACUGGAGUUUGGCCAUUUUCUUUCCCUUAUUUUGGGUUUUCUCUUAUCCUAUGGUUAGUUGCCUAGUACUUAUUUUCCAUCCUCCUGCAACUACCCCAUGCUAUUCAUAUCUCAGAGGAACAGUCAACUAUGCAUCUGUCUCAUGUGAGCAGAGGGAUGACUUCUAGUCCUGUCUUUGUCCUGUACCUGUGAAGGGAGAAGACUGUAGCUCUGACACUUUCUCCACAGAAUUAUAUUAUUGGAAACAGCCCAGACCAUCUCCAAUGCUUACAUCAGAGUGCUUGACUGGAGAACUGGGGUGAAGGGAAAAUAACUCAAUUUACCACAUCAACAAUGCACGACAGCUUCACAGCAACUGGGCUUCUUGUGCAAGGACCUCAGCACUUGCUUGCCACCCUCCCAGCUGUGUAAUGGCAAACUGGACUGCAGUCAAGGGGAAGACGAAUCUGCUACCUACUGUGGUCAAAUGCCCAACAGAGUAUCUCCCAUAAAACUUGACAUUCAAGUGUCCCAACCAGAAGAUUUGGACAUAUAUUGGACAAGGUGUGUGACACAAGAAAUGACUGUGGUGAUUGCUCAGAUGAAUCAGGUAAAAAUGAAAAUAUGUCAUUAAUUUUUUAAUGGCUUCUUGGAGUGGCUACCCUUAUACUUCAAUUACAUAAAUUAACUCGUGCUUACAAGCCUUCCUUAAGGAUACAUCCAUGAUUUUAAGAUUCUAUCAUUCCCAGUAGUUUGUGCAUAUUUAAACUAGAUGAAUUCUCUAGCUAAGAAUACAGCCAGUUCUGUAAGAAUUACCAAAGGAAAUAAUCUUGAUAGACAGCUCUUAUCUGCUAUCAAAUUCCUUCUAUAUUUCUUUACAAAUGUUGGUGAAGAUCAAACAAAAUUCUGUUGAGUGCUUUGGCUCUCAAAAAAAUUUUUUGUUUAACUUUGCCAUUUCCUUGCUUUUCCUCCCUCACUUUCCUCCUUCUCUCCUCCCCUCAUUCUGUUCCUUACAGUAGUUUAAUACUUGGCAAACACCUGAUCACCCCACAAUCUCAUAAAACCAUGGCAGAGGUGCAAUUCCAAUACCUCGUGGCCCCAAUUAGUAUCUGAAAGCCCUAUAAGAAAUACAUUAAAUAGAUAAUUUCCUGCCUUUUGUCUGGUCAUUGUGGAGGGUAGAAAUAGAAAUGCUAGGAAUUACAGAUAACAAUGCUCUGGCAAAUAAAGACUAAAAUUAUAAGGAGAUCCUUUUCUUCUCGCUAGCUGCCAGUUAGCAGUGAUUCUUUUCCCUGCUGAUUGAACAUACAAACUCAAAGGUACCCUUUCUUAUUAUGUAAUAUGUCAGUAUGUUUAUUUUUAGGCUGAUGGUGAGGGGUAGUACUUGUCUUGGCUUUUCAAAGUACAAAUUCUUUCACCCAAACAUGUAGAAUCUUUAAUAAACAUCUGCAAUUUCCCUGCUGGGCAGUUUUCACAAAUAUUUUUAAGAUCCAGGGGGCAAUUUCUUUUCCAAUAAUAUCUUUUUCAGUCUACCUUGACAUUUUAACAGUUAUGGUUUUAAAAACAAAUAAAAUUGUCUAGUUUUACAGUGCCCAAAGUGCUCGGGCUGGAGAUGUGAUACUGUUUUCUUUGCUGACUGCGCCUGCAUUCCCAGAACUCGCUGCAAAAAUGGCAUUCAAGACUGUGCUGAUUGCAGCGAUGAAAACUGAUGUAAAUAGAAGACUUUUCUAAUCAUUUUUUUUGGAAAGCUGAAAACUGCUAUUAGUUGCCUUAAUACUUCUCUCAAAAAAAGUAUAUUAUAUAUGUGUAUAAUAUAUAUAAUACACAUACAUUCAUAUAUAUCUUACUGGGAUGGCAGAGGGAGGGAAGAGCUACUGAAGAACACGAAUCCAGCAUUAAUGGAGAAAAAAAUGAUUAGUAGAAGUCAGACCAAAAUCUUAACUUUCAGCUCAUUUGUUUCCAAAUUUUAGAAUGUAGCUUUCUGUUCUGUGAACCAUAGGGUUAUGGGAAUGAAACAAAUGUAUUUUAGCUCAAUUAUUUCAACAAAUAAAGGGUAUUAAUCCUAAAAGCUCUCAGAUCAAAACAGAUGUCUGUUUCCAGCUAAAAACGGGUUUGCUCCAGUCUGCCCCUCUAGUCUGCCAGGGUCUAAAAUUCUUUCCAGCAGGUAGUGAACGUGAAAGAGCAGACAUGGAUUUGAAUCUCAUCCUAACACCUGGGGGGCUGUGUGACCCGAGGUAAGUAAUUUCACCUCUUAAAGGUAAUUUUCUUGUCUGUACAAUGAGGCUCUUUCUUGGGGUUAUAAGCAAAGAAGACACAAAACAGGUGGUAGAGUGCUUUUUACAUGUAACAGCAGCUAAAGGGACUGUAGACAAUUAAAGAAAAAUUGCAAG